GAGCCAGGUGUGUUUCUGUCUCCGUACUGUCUACAUCAGAGCAGGAGCGUCGACUCGGGGGGACGAGCUCUCUCUUCCUCCAUUAACCGUGGAGUGUGCAGCCGGAAGCGAGCAGCCGGGAGCGAGCGGAGCGGCGCCACUAGAAACCCCAGGUCCUGUUGGAAGUUCUCUGCGCAAGAUGGAGACCCUUACAGAAAACCACAACUGGUCAAAUACAGUAAUUAACCGUAGGGACCCCAGCCCCAGUGGAUACGGCUCCAACACAGCUCUCACACCUGAAGUUCAAGGAACAUCAAAGAACAGGAGAGAGAAAUCUUGUAAAGGUCAAAGGACCAGGAAGUCUGCUGGGAGAUUGCCUCUCCUAGGCAGGACAGGAAAGCCUUGAUACCUCCACAAUAUGUCUCUCUACACAAGACAAUGAACAAUGACAAUGUCAGAUGCAUCGUGGCUGCUCUCCUCAGGCUCCCGCCACCAUGCCUGCCCUACCAGAUGGAAAUCUACUCUUGCACUGCAAACCAAAACGGACCAUUCCUUCCUCAAACUGUCCUCGCCAGGCACCUUGUUAGCACAAAGUAACGAAUGCACAAACUAACGUACCGGGCACUACGAUCUUCAGUAAGUUAGUCAUUACUCUAUCUCCUCUUCCUCCUCUACCUCAUUUUCUUCCUUUAAAAAAUAUCCUGCGCAAUUUCAAUUUUUAAAAGAUUUAUUUUCAUCUUAAAUUCUGAUUCUCUGUGUUGCGCAUGCAGCAUGUGUGCAGUUGCCUAUACAGGCCAGC